UUAAAGCUGGAAUUAUGGGGCAAUCUAAAUAUUAUUCAUCACCAAAAGUAAGGAUCAUUUGUCCCCUUCUGUGUUUACAAUUUUUUUUUAAUUUUACUAGUGUGAUAAAUGGAUCUGGGGAACCAAGAAAAUGACCACUCAAUCUACAGUAUUUGAGCCAGGCUAUAAGUCCUGCUGAGAAUUUAUUCUAAUGCAAAUAAAUGGUUGCCAUGCCUUACUCUGAGUGGUCAGAGCUUGGCCUCAUAUUACUUACUACAUAGCUGGUUACUCAAAGUGGUCCACUUGAUAAGCAGAAUGCACUUGGGAAUACCUAGUGUAACCUUGCAUACAUAUUUGUAUUUCAUUAUAUGUAUGUUGGCAUUUGAAGAUACUGUCUCAGAUAUGGUGGUAGUGAAAAAUUAUUUUUAGAAUGCAGAAAACGAAACUGUGCCGCUCAUCUUCUACCAUACUCCGCAUAAACGGGUCAUGGAUGUCAAAAUGAACCCUGAUACUCUGACAAUGCCAAAGGACAUGGGAGAGAAAAUACUCCCACUUCUAAGCACAGAUGUGAGCUUUCAGCCUCCUGUUCCAGCCGCCAUGCCUGCUUGAUGCCCUCACUCCGACAUAACGGACUCGAAGCCUCUGUAACUACAAGCCAAAAUAAACAAUUCCUUCUAUGUG